CCUGGGUGCGUACCAAUCGUUAGCCCGGUGAUGCGCGUGAUGACACUAUUGGAUUGCUAAAUGUACCCGUUUACGCAUAGGAGUAACUACUCUUGGGAGUAUAAAAAAUGCUAAAUUUUUCAUACUCCCUAGGAGUAGCUACUCCCAUCUCCUCACCCAGUCUACUCUACGCAUGGAUAUCAUCUUAAUGGGCCACCAUGGAGCUAACGGGUUUAGAAACUAUCCAACGGACCGUGCAUGUAUAUACAUGAAUUAAAUACUUGAAUAUUGAUUAUUGAGCGGAUGGCCGGAUAAUUAACGGGGAAUGCGGAUUAAAAUUUACGCUGGGCAUGCAGUUUUUUCGAAUCUGGCAUGUCUCACCUAGCGUUAUUUAUUUAGUCAGAGAUUUUAUUUUUAAUGCUAUUUGCAUCCGGUUGCCCGUCGAGAUAGCCGCCGCUGACCACCAACAUAAACGCAGGAAUGGAGCUUCUACCACUGCUCUUUGUUUCCGCCGGCAGUGUGACAUGUGCUGCGUGGCAUUUCGAUGCGAUCGACUGUCAUCUAGUUCACCAUGGCAUGUCACCUUGCCAGCGCUGUUAUAGCCACUCGGAGGCCUGAGCAAGCAUAGAGGCGCACGACAUGCAGCAGCACACUUCGCUAGCUCUGUUAGGUGGCCAUGGCGCACCUAUUGGACUAUAAUCGAAGAUCCUAAUGCAUCGCCCAUUUUUUAGUGCAUGCAAAGCAUGCAGAUUCAGAGUUGAUUGAUCUAUCUUGAGGAGACCUCUGCAUCUA